rnacentral:rRNA from 1 species
CUACGUGCCAGCAGCCGCGGUAAUACGUAGGGUGCGAGCGUUAAUCGGAAUUACUGGGCGUAAAGCGAGCGCAGACGGUUACUUAASCAGGAUGUGAAAUCCCCGGGCUCAACCUGGGAACUGCGUUCUGAACUGAGUGGCUAGAGUAUGUCAGAGGGGGGUAGAAUUCCACGUGUAGCAGUGAAAUGCGUAGAGAUGUGGAGGAAUACCGAUGGCGAAGGCAGCCCCCUGGGAUAAUACUGACGUUCAUGCUCGAAAGCGUGGGUAGCAAACAGGAUUAGAUACCCUGGUAGUCCACGCCCUAAACGAUGUCGAUUAGCUGUUGGGCAGCUUGACUGCUUAGUAGCGUAGCUAACGCGUGAAAUCGACCGCCUGGGGAGUACGGUCGCAAGAUUAAAACUCAAAGGAAUUGACGGGGACCCGCACAAGCGGUGGAUGAUGUGGAUUAAUUCGAUGCAACGCGAAGAACCUUACCUGGUCUUGACAU